rnacentral:rRNA from 1 species
CGCGUAGGCGGACUUUCAAGUCAGGGGUGAAAUCCCGAGGCUCAACCUCGGAACUGCCUUUGAUACUGCAAGUCUUGAGUCCGAGAGAGGUGAGUGGAAUUCCUAGUGUAGAGGUGAAAUUCGUAGAUAUUAGGAAGAACACCAGUGGCGAAGGCGGCUCACUGGCUCGGUACUGACGCUGAGGUGCGAAAGCGUGGGGAGCAAACA